rnacentral:rRNA from 1 species
AUUGAACGCUGGCGGCAUGCCUUACACAUGCAAGUCGAACGGCAGCACGGACUUCGGUCUGGUGGCGAGUGGCGAACGGGUGAGUAAUGUAUCGGAACGUACCUUUCAGUGGGGGAUAACGUAGCGAAAGUUACGCUAAUACCGCAUAUUCUGUGAGCAGGAAAGCAGGGGAUCGAAAGACCUUGCGCUUAUUGAGCGGCCGAUAUCAGAUUAGCUAGUUGGUGGGGUAAAGGCCUACCAAGGCGACGAUCUGUAGCGGGUCUGAGAGGAUGAUCCGCCACACUGGAACUGAGACACGGUCCAGACUCCUACGGGAGGCAGCAGUGGGGAAUUUUGGACAAUGGGGGCAACCCUGAUCCAGCCAUGCCGCGUGAGUGAAGAAGGCCUUCGGGUUGUAAAGCUCUUUCGGCCGGGAAGAAAUCGCAUAGGCUAAUACCCUGUGUGGAUGACGGUACCGGAAUAAGAAGCACCGGCUAACUACGUG